GACGAACGCUGGCGGCGCGCUUAACACAUGCAAGUCGAACGGAAAGGCCUGCUUUCCCUUGUGGAUUGCGGGUACUCGAGUGGCGAGCGGGUGAGUAACACGUGAGUGAUCUGCCCCCAACUUGGGUAUAAGCCUGGGAAACUGGGUCUAAUUCCCGAUAGGACUGCAGGGUGGUGCCUGUGGUGGAAAACGAUUUUCUAGUGGUUGGGGAUGAGCUCGCGGCCUAUCAGCUUGUUGGUGGGGUAAUGGCCUACCAAGGCGGCGACGGGUAGCCGGCCUGGGAGGGUGGACGGCCACAUUGGGACGGAGAUACGGCCCAGACUCCUACGGGAGGCAGCAGUGGGGAAUAUUGCACAAUGGGCGGAAGCCUGAUGCAGCGACGCCGCGUGGGGGAUGACGGCCUUCGGGUUGUAAACUCCUUUCGACCGCGAGGAAGCCACCUGGUUGGAAGGGUGGUGACGGUAGUGGUAGAAGAAGCACCGGCUAACUACGUG
rnacentral:rRNA from 1 species